rnacentral:rRNA from 1 species
AUGCAGAUCUUUGUGAAAACUCUUACCGGGAAGACCAUAACUCUAGAGGUUGAGAGUUCGGACACCAUUGACAAUGUCAAGGCAAAGAUCCAGGACAAGGAGGGCAUCCCACCAGACCAACAGAGGCUCAUCUUUGCUGGCAAGCAGCUUGAGGAUGGGCGCACAUUGGCUGAUUACAACAUUCAGAAGGAGUCUACCCUUCACCUAGUCCUCCGCCUCCGUGGUGGCAUGCAGAUAUUUGUCAAGACGCUAACUGGAAAGACCAUCACUCUUGAAGUGGAGAGCUCCGACACCAUUGAUAAUGUGAAGGCCAAGAUCCAGGAUAAGGUAGGUAUCCCGCCUGACCAGCAGAGGCUCAUCUUUGCCGGAAAGCAGCUCGAGGAUGGGCGCACUUUGGCUGAUUACAAUAUUCAGAAGGAGUCUACCCUUCACCUGGUCCUACGCCUCCGAGGUGGGUACUUCUGA